rnacentral:sRNA from 1 species
UUAAGAUUUCUGCCUAUGAUGAUUUGUACACCAGAUUGAAAACUUGUGAAACAACUAUUAAACAUGCACUACCAUCUGAGGCAUUAAUAAAGUAUCAGAUUUAUAGUUACAUUUUAUCAAAUGUAUUUCUCACAUUUGAAGAGUUUUUUUUUGUGUUUUUUUUCAACAGUUUUGUAACCUUGACAGACUUUCCCAUGAGGUGGGUUGGAAAUAUCAGGGCGUUGUUGCUACUCUUGAAGCCAAGAGAAAAGUCAAGUCCAAACACUUCUAUGAACGCAAGAAGCAUCUUUUGAAUCUUCGUGAGCAGGCAAAGAAAAAUGUUGCAAAGAAGAUUGAACGUCACCAGAAAGUACUUUCACAAUUGGGUUACUGAAGUUUUUAGUUACUUAAAACAUUUG